rnacentral:lncRNA from 1 species
GGGGGAGGGUCUGUGAUGGUGUGAGGGAAAGCUGAUAGGGAACCGGCGCUUUUAUGCUGUGUAAGUAGUAAAGAAAUUUAGUAAGAAAGAAUGCCAAAGCGUACAGCAUAACUGAAGCAUAUCUCCUCUAGCCAGAAGCCUCUCUCCAUAGGCUGAGUGAUUCUAGUUUCCCUUGUCAGUCACCAGAAUCACCACAGCUCUGUCACACUCUUCAGUGAAGCAUGUAGGAGAUGGAGAGGCUUCCUUGAGUCCGCAGAAAGGAACUGACAUGUGGAACUAAUAAUCAGAGAACAUGUCUCAACAGGAGAGCUGAACUCUUAAGAGGAAUAAUGGUCUCCCAGUUACCACAGUGAAGGUCAAGGGCAAGCAUAAAUAUAGGACCUGGAGCACAGCCUGAUAGAAAAGGAGGC